rnacentral:rRNA from 1 species
UACGUAGGGGGCAAGCGUUGUCCGGAAUUAUUGGGCGUAAAGAGCGUGUAGGCGGCCAGAUAAGUCCGCUGUGAAAUCUCGAGGCUCAACUUCGAGCUGUCGGUGGAAACUAUCUGGCUAGAGUCCGGAAGAGGAGAAUGGAAUUCCUGGUGUAGCGGUGAAAUGCGCAGAUAUCAGGAAGAACACCCGUGGCGAAGGCGGAUCUCUGGGCCUGUCCUGACGCUCAGGCGCGAAAGCUAGGGGAGCAAACAGG